rnacentral:rRNA from 1 species
AGAGUUUGAUCCUGGCUCAGGAUGAACGCUAGCUACAGGCUUAACACAUGCAAGUCGAGGGGAAACGACAUCGAAAGCUUGCUUUUUGAUGGUCGUCGACCGGCGCACGGGUGAGUAACGCGUAUCCAACCUGCCCCAUCACUUGGGGAUACCUUGCGAAAGUAAGACUAAUACCCAAUGAUAUCUCUAGAAGACAUCUGAAAGAGAUUAAAGAUUUAUCGGUGAUGGAUGGGGAUGCGUCUGAUUAGCUUGUUGGCGGGGUAACGGCCCACCAAGGCGACGAUCAGUAGGGGUUCUGAGAGGAAGGUCCCCCACAUUGGAACUGAGACACGGUCCAAACUCCUACGGGAGGCAGCA